rnacentral:lncRNA from 12 species
AUGGUUUUUGCAUUUCGCUUUAUUUUUGCUGGGAGGCACACGGGGCCAGGGAGCAAGGUGUGCCAAGGCCGUUCCUCUCUCCCUACCCAGAGAUUUGCUAACACACGAGAGGUGGGCGAGAGCCCGGGGUGCCUCCGGCUCUGGGGCAGGGGUGAGUGUGGGCUAGUGGGUGGGGGUGGAGCCGGGAGGCAGAGCCGGCCCCGGCUUGUUGGGGGGCUCAGCGCCCUAAGGGCCGGUGGCGGGAGCCCGGUGGCCUUUAGCCUCUCCUUGGCCGGCCUGCGAUCUUUCUGCAGAUCUUCAUUCCGCAGCCCCCAGCAGGUUGCCUGGUUGGCGUGGUUGGGUAAAAGAGGGUAUCUGGAGGGAUGUGAAGCCAGUGGUCUACCUUCGAAGAGGAAAAGGUGAAACAGGCCUCCUGAAGGAUUAUCGUAGUUGUUGUGGGAUUAGUUAGACCAGCUCUGUCCACUCCGGCAGCCACUGGCCACAUGUGGUUUUUGAGCACUUAGACUGUGCUACAGCCAAAUCAAGAUGUGCUGCACAAACAUACUGGCUUCUGGGGAUUUAGCACGACAAGAGAACGCAAAAUAUUUCAUUAAUAAUUUUAAGUAUUGAUCCUAUGUUACAAAUAUUAUUUUGGUUACAUUCGACUAAAUACAAUCUGUUAUUAAAAUGAGUUUCACUUGUUCUUCUUUUCUCUCUCUCUCUCCUUUUUUUUUUUUUUAAACUUUUCUUUUACUGCGGCUGCUAGAAACUUCAAAAUCACCCCCUCCCCCACAUCCCCCCGUGACUUCUAUCCCCUUGCCAUUGCUUAGAGCUGGGUCAGCCCCUCAGAACUGUUUUGUACCUCCAACUUUCUGUAGAAACUUGAGUAUUGGGUCGACUGGGUGGGUUGCUCAGUGGUUGGCGCUUGCCUUCUGCUCAGGGCGUGAUCCUGGGGUCCUGGGAUCGAGUCUUGCAUCAGGCUCCCUGCAUGGAGUCUGCUUCUCCCCCUGCCUGUGUCUCUGCCUCUCUCUGUGUGUCCCUCAUGAAUAAAUAAACACAAUCUUUAAAAAACA